UGCUGGGAAAAGACCCGGGUCCUCUGAAAGAGCAGUCAGUGCCAUCUUUCCCCAGAGCCAGCCUCUUUGAAAUGAAGUUUCUCUCUCUCUGUCUCUGUCUCUCUGUCUCUGUCUGUCUCUCUGUCUGUCUCUCUCUGUCUCUCUGUCCCUGUGUGUGUCUCUGUGUGUCCCAUCAGAGGCCAGAGUUUGAUAUCAGUCAGACAUCUUCCUCUAUUGCUCUGGACCUCAUUCUUUGAGACACUGUGUCUGGCCCUGAGUUCACUGCUCUGGCUACACUGGCCGACCAGAAAGUCCUCCAUCUCCACAGUGCUUGGAUUACAGGUGGCGCCUGCAUUUUUUGAAUUCAUUCUGGGAAUUGAACGCAAGCCCUUCAUGCUUUCACAGAGAGCACUUUACCGCUGAGCCAUCUCCCCAGCCUCUAAAAUGUCGUUUUCUAAGAGACCAAAAGGACUAUGACUGUCCCAGCCUCUGUGUCUGUCCAAGCCGUUGGUCAUCACUACUGUCCAAAAGCUGUUGGUAAAAAGUAAAACUUUAGGGAGAGAAUGCACAGGGGUUAGGCUGAAACUAAAGCGUUCAUUUCUAGUUUUAAUCUCAAUAGUUCCUUAGCAAAUUAAUGAUUAAUCAGCAGGAAUUAACAUGGAUUACCUUCCCACACUCAAUCAUUUUCCAGCACCGAGACUCACUUGAAAUGAAAUUCAAGGAUUCCAGUUUCUGGCCAGCAGUUGCUACCAACUAGUCUGGCUGGACGAUGGGCAAGGCAUUUACCUCUCUGAGCAUAAAUGGACUUUAAGACGGUCACUCUCUCUUCUGGGGCUCCAGACCAUUCUUUGGAUACUAAUGAGGAGGAGGUUCAUCCUUCCAGACUUAAAACCUGCAGCUCCUCAGCCCCUCUUCCCCACUUCAUCACUGCGUGGCUCUCCUCAAACUCUGCUAAUCAGCUUUUUCGGUCCUUAUUUUGUUUUUUUUAAUCAUCAGUGAGAGUUUUGAAGAUGAUCCUUAUGCCAGAAGCAAGGGGGGAAAAAAGUAAAAUAAAUUCUAAAAGGGCCCAGCAGGGCAACCAA